rnacentral:lncRNA from 1 species
GACUGGACCCUCAACUCUGAGAGAAGCCAGACUUGGAUUCAUCUCAUGUUUGGCGCUGAGGACUGAUAGCCAGAGAGGAACUCACCUGAGUACCACAGAAGACUCCCAGCAUGAAGCAAUUGUUAGUAUGAGACCAUCUGUUGUUUGAGGGCAGGGAUGAGUCCCGGGCAUCUCUGCGACUAGCACAGGACUGGCAAUGAGCUGAAUGAAGGUAUGAAUGAGCAGCAUAAUUAGUAAGUCUGCCUUUUAACCUCACAUCUCUCAUGCAAAACUUACUGCACGAGAAAAGAAGAGCCCCACUCCUUGCUCCCAGAAGAGUCAGCAGGAUGUUCUUGUCAUCAAGAACACCUGACUCAGAGCAGAGGCUGUGGUCCUACGAAGACGACCUUCCACCUUGGUUUUCUCCCUCCUGUCUGUCCCUCCCUCUGGAUCUUGCUAAAUUUCCCCUCCAAAAACUUUCUGUCAGCUUCAAGGUAGAGAGAGUUGGCUGCCCUACAUGAUGAUGUCUUGAAUUGACCUUGCACCCAAGGCAUAACUGCAUGGAACUCCUAGGACCUUAAACAUAGACCAUGCUGAUUUAGCUUUCCUGCUGGAAGAGAUGGCAACACUGUAGUUAUGCUUGGGUGGAUGGAUGGAUAGAGAGAUAGAUGGGUGGAUAUUAGGUAAGUUAUCUAAAAGCAGGGGAUAGAGGUACUAGAAGGCAUUAGAGACUGGAAGUAGUAAAUGGCUGGAAGUAACUGAGAAUGUUGACUCGUGAGAACAAAGGUAUUCUCUGCUAUUACACCAACCACCCAACUCCGACAUGUCAGCCCACCCUCUUCUUAAGGACUGAGGGACACUCCACUCAUACAUAGCCCUGGUGGCUCCCACAGCCCAUGUUUGUCUCAUGGAGAAGCUAUGAAAGUCUAGCAAACUACCUCUUUUCUUGUUUCUCUCCCCACCUAGAGAGUAAAGCCCUCUGAAGGUAGUGAUUUGGUUUCAGUCAAUUUUCUUUCAAUUGCAGGUUAAAGAAAGCCCAAUCCAAACUGGAUGAAGUGGAAGGAAAUCUAUGGCUCUUGUAACUCUUAAGUUCCAGGAAAUAGGACUUGCCUCAGGUGCAGUUUGGUACAGAGGCUCAAGGAAUUUCACCAUGCAUGUCCUGGUUUCUUUUUCUAUCUCUGUACUUUUGUCUUCAAGGUUGGCUCCUUUCUCAGACAGGAAUUUCCCCUGUGGUAGGAAGAGCGUUGUAGCAGUUCCAGCAGUCACACCCUCUUUGCUUCUAGCCUAGCCAAGGAAACAUCUCAGAUUCCCCAAGAAAGAUUCAUUGUACCUGCAGGUUCUGAUCAGACUUUAUGCUCCUCCCUGAUUCAACCACCAUAGCCAGUAGAAGGCCACAGUGAUUGAUUUAAGUUUAGGCUAGUUAAGGGGAUGGUUGUCCAGAGAGAAGCAACCAGAAGAGGAGUGAGGAUGCUGAGUGGCACAAGGAACAGAUGCCCCUAGCAGACCAUGUCCUCUUCAGUACGAGGUCCUACCACCUGGCACACAAUCAGUAUUGAUACAUGUUACUUCCACAACCCCAUUCCAACAGAAAACACAGCAUGAGCUUGUCACAGAAGCCCUCAAGGACUUCAUGUGGCCUAGCCAGGGCUCUGUGUCCAUGUGGCUUAUCCCUCAGCUCCCUCUAUUUCCUUUGCUGCCUUCCUGCCAGUCCCUGGCCUGUCAUGCUACAGCUAUGGGCAGCUGUCAGCAGGCCAGACCACCCUCCUCCUUCCAGAGCAUUGGGCUGGAAAUGUGUGAAAUUGAUGCAAACUUAGAAAACUAGGAUUUGGGUUUCUCUCUCUUCCUCUCAGCAUGCUUUUUGCUCAACCAGCCAGAACUGGUGGCCAUCAACAUACCUGCCUAAAUCUGUGCCAUGAUAAUUACCUCAGUAGCAACAGUAAUAGUAUUCUUAUUAUAACUCUUAUUUUAAAGACCUACAAUGGACCAAGCUCUUUAAACAUAUCACCACAUGUCUGUGCAAUAACCUUGCGAAGUAGUGUAACAGGGACCACCACAGGCUUUGCCUACCUGUAGGUACAAAUGGGACCACAUUACUCAUAACUACUCAGAUUUCACAGAUUUGUUGUCCCCAAAUGCUGGGGCAUAAUCUCUAGCCUCUUACAAAUAUUUCUGUGGGUUCCCAGGGGUCCUGUCAUCUUGGCUCAUAGUUGCUUUUCCUUGCUUUUUCCCUGCUUUUUCCCCCGGCUUUGCCAGGUUCCAUGGUCUCUACUGUUGCUGUUCACCAGCAACCAUGUUCCUACAGUGGAACCACCAGACACUGCAUUCUCUGCCACUGCACUGGAGCCUCCACUCUGCCAUUCUGCAUGGCAGAAAAUUUGAGGAAGAAGUCUGUCUCUUCCCCCUCUACUCUAUGCCAUAUCUGUUAGUGAGGCCCUGAUGCAGUUCUGUUUGUGCCAUGAUGUAUUAUGCAGUUGCUGAAAUGGUUCCAUCAAUGCCCCCGCUCUCACCUACCCCCUACACUUACCACUGGACAGUGGCAUGACACCAGUGGGGACUAGGCUGGGAGAAAAACACAAGUGUCAGAAACCAUGCUGUACUCAAGAAUCACACCUCCCUGUCCUCCCGUUUCUUUUUCUCUUUCCCUCUUUUCGCAACCCCCACCCCCAACUCAAAUUCAGUCCUAGGCUGUUUUACCGGGUCAAGACCUUGACAUCUGAUUCCUUGGGAGAAUUUCUUCUAAUUAGCUAAGAGUAGGCAUUCAAUAAAUAUAUGUCAAAUGGUUGGUUAGUUGGAUUGUUGAAUGGGUAGGUGGGUGGAUGUGUGGAUAAAAUGCUUUAUCAGUUCUUAUACCAACUAGUUUCUGAUGAGCCCACUCCAUUUAUAUCUGAAUUUCAUUUAGACUCAAGCUGAGGUCCUUGUUAAAGUUGGUAUGAUUUUUCUCCAUGUUACAGAUUUAAAAGCUGAGGCCCAUAGAAGUUAAGUCACUUGUCCAAAGUCAUACUGCUAACAAACAGCUAAGCCGGGAUUCCAACCUAGGCUUAACUGAUACUCAAAUCCUUUCUUUUUUUCUACUCCACUGUCUCUAUGGCAAGGGGUUAAGAGUUGUGGUUCAUGAGGUGCAUGACUUGUGCCAUGUGCAGGAAUUACAUCACUGAGGUCCCCUCUGGAGGAGGACAACAUUAGCAUUGCCCACUUCUUCGUCACUUCCUUUAACAUAGCAAAUCCAGGCUAAAGAAAUCCAUGGACGACCCAUCCCAGCAGCUGGUUGGCCUGCUCAUCACAGUGGUGGAGGAUGGCAGCUCCAUUGGCUGAGUCUGACUUUCCCUACACAUCAGCCACUUAGACAGAUGUAUCUGAAAGUCCAGCUCUGUUCUGCAGGUCCUUCUGACCCUACCAGCUACCACAUCCUUUCCCAACUCUCUCUGGCUCAGAGGAGAAGCAGCAUCUCCAGCACUUUUGGAGAGGAAGAGUCAGACCUUUGGGGUCAGUUCCUGGCAGCCAACUCCCUUCUCUGAGAGGCAAAGUUAAACUCUCCCACUGCAGCCUCAGUCCCAGGACUCACGGGACACCAGCCUGGCAAUGGUGGGGGAUCCUGUCCCUCUAGUGAAAGAGGGAGUCAUGCUUGCCCCAUGAGCUGGAGAUAGCCCCACAGGUCCCAAGCCACAGCCUCCCCCUCCUGCGUGUGUGCUGUGCCCCCAAUGACAGGCUUCUGACCCAGCCCCUGGUUUUCCAGGGCCUCCUAAGUCCUGAAUACUGCAGCUUUCUUGGCUGAGGCCUUGCCUCCCAUUCCCUGAGAUCCCCCAUGCUUCUCUCCAGGCUGGCUCUGAUUCCCUGUUUUCAGCCAUUUUCUGGGUCUCUCAGGCCCAUUAAAUACAUUCUCAGCCUGAUAUAACCAGGAAUGCCCCUCCCUGCGCCGGGCCAACUUUUUUGGUGUCAACCCAUGCCCAGAUCAAAUGAAGUUUGCAAGAUUCCUUGAGCCUAGUUUGGCUGGCUGGCCCAUCUCUCAGGCCCAAGUAGAGUCUCUGCCCUAAAUCACUGCCUGACAGAGUCCUCAUCUGGGCUCAAAGUGGACCGAGGUAAAUGUGUGGGAUUGAUGUUAUGCGGGAGAGUUGGGAAAUGCCUUUCGCAGGAGGGUAGGUAGGGGCUCCAUAAACCUAUAGAUCUGAUUCUGUAGACGAGAGCCAGACAAUGCCCAGGAGUAAAUGCUAAGCUAGAGCCUGGACUCUUCCCUGCAAGAAUCACUAAGCAAGAGUUAGGGAUCAAUUUCACGAGGUUGUAUGCAUGUGUGUGCCUGUGUGCAUUUUACUGGAGGCAUUUCCAUCACUUUUAUUAAUAACAGUAUUUACUCAGAACUUACUAUGUGCCAGGCACUGCUCUAAGCACUGAUGCAUUUACAUAUAUUAACUCAUUUAAUUCACAUCACACCCUAUGAGAUAGAGACUAUUGUUAUCCUCACUUUAUUCUUGAAGAAAGUAAGGCACAGGGAGAUUGAGUAAUAUGACCAAGAUCACACAGCCAGUAACUUUGAGGCAGGCGGAUCACGAGGUCAGAAGAUCGAGACAUCCUGGCUAACACGGUGAAACCCCGUCUCUACUAAAAAUACAGAAAAAAUUAGCCAGGUAUGGUCGCAGGCACCUGUAGUCCCAGCUACUCUGGAGGCUGAGGCAGGAGAAUGGAGUGAACCCCGGAGGCAGAGCUUGCAGUGAGCUGAGAUCGUGCCACUGCACUCCAGCCUGGGCGACAGAGUGAGACUCCUUCUCAAAAUAAAAAAUAAAUAAAUAAAAAUAAAAAGUAGAACCAGUAUUUCAGCCCAGAUCUUUGUGAAUCCACAUCUAUUCUUUGAACCUCUAGUUUUGUUAUUAAAAUCUCAGAGACAUGUGUGACCCAAUAAAGGCUGAGAGCGUUCACACAAAGAGAGGAAGCUUAAAAAGUAGAAAAGAACCUUCACUGGGUCAAACCCGGAGCGAGGGAGCAUUAAAGAAGUCAGCCUGGACUCCGGGACUGUGGUAUUGUAGCCACAUUCUGCUGUCCAGGCUUGUGUAAGCUAUUUCAUUUCUUCCUUCUGAGUGUAGCAGGCCUCACAAUCCCUAUUUUACAGAUGAGAAAAGUGUGGUUCAGUGAGGCUCAGUAAACUUCCCAUAACCACAUACUAGUCCAUAGUGGUCCAGAGAUUCAAACCCAAGCAAAUCCCAUGUGACUCUCAAACUGGUUCUGGGAGAGGGAUGUGACUUGCCCCCCCCCCAUGGCCUUGCCCACCAUGGGCAGGGGAGGUGAUGUAGGAAGGGAUCCUGUGCUCCCCUUUCCAACCCAUCCUGCCUCUGCCUUGUCUCCUCCUCCCUACUCUCCUAUCACCCCCUCCCCACCCACCACACCUAUCCAUCUUCACUUGCUGGGGAUUAAGUUAGGAAAACAAAAAUGAAAUGAACACUGCUCUGCCGACCCAUCCCUGGAGACACUGACUUACACGGGUCUGAUGCUGUUGAUGAUGUUCUAUCGAUUUCCCCUCUAAUUGCUGCAGCUGGAUCUAUAUUCAUUUUCUGUCUCAAACUUCUCUUUUGUUGGUUCAAUCAGCUAAAUGAAGGGCCCAUUUCUCUCUGUCCCUGUCCUGAAAAGCCAAAGAAGUUUCCAAUGAAGAGCUCUCUUCGGAAAUCAGUGAGGCCAGCAGACUGAGGACAAAGAGCGUCAGAAUUUGAUUACCUCUUUUGAAAAGUUGGCUAAGAACAAAGCUGGAAAAGAAAGUCUCGGGAGACCGAGUCCAUUGGCAAGAAGAGGAGAUAUUUCCCCUUGAAUUCACAGAUCAGUUCAUUCAUUCAUUCCACAACUUUAUUGAACAUCUACCAUGGACCAGACUCCAUGGUAGGAUCUAAAAAUAUUCAUCAUGAACCAAAUGGACACAGACCCUGCCUUCACAAAGUUAAGUCUUUGGCCCUUUGGGUAAACCUGACACCCACGUUUAGUAUUCACUCCUGAAUGUUCACUACUUGCUCAAGAGGCAUUUGAGACUCUUCAGUCUCCAUUCUUGACAUUCUUAUCGGAGGCCCCAAACUUUCAACUCAUCAUAGCCCAGCUUCUCAUUUCUCAUCCCUGUUUCUGUGAUCAAUUCAUAGCCCACGUCUCUGUCCUCACUGACAUACUUCUCAUCCAGUAACUGGACACCGAAAGCCAGAGAAGUCGGGUAUUCAGAUUCCAAAUCAUUGUGCUGAGGCAAUCCUGCCUUCGGCUGAAGAAAUAGGGAGCGGGGACAAUGCGUCAGGACGGCCUCUUUUUACUCAGCGUGAGCUUUGUUACUCACCCGAGGUGUUCUACCUUGAAUCAUGGCUUUUGUGAGGAAAACCAGGAUCAUGCAGAAGGAUGAAGUGCUAUUUCCUCAGUGGCACCUUCAGUGCUACUGACACUUUCAAGAAUAUGCGUGUCUAUGCAGCAGAAACAGACACCCUGAGAUGCUGGAUUUGAGAUAAUUCACUGAGUUUUAUCAACAUAUGUGAACACACAGAUUUUCAGCUAAUAUUAGAAGUUGAGAUGAGACUGAUUAACGUGACUCCUAGGCAGGCCUCAUCAUAUCUCCUAAAAGAAGUGCAAGCAUCCUAUUUGAAUACAUACCCUGGCCCUCCUCCUUUUUCCCUUGAGUUCCCUCUUGAGGUUAAUAAAACUUGAUGUAUGAGAUGACGUUGAGUGUCCCAGGCCCAAAGAAGUUCAGGAUGAGUACAAACAUGUGCAUACCGUGGUUAGAAGAUAAGAUUGCUUGGAGUUCUUUGCUUCAUUCUGACCACGUGCAGAUCAGCAUAGAUGGUGAGUGAGGAAAAGCUCUUCCUGUGGACACUUCUGAAUAAGUUCUAAUAACUUGACUAAAAUUUAUUCCAGAAAUAAAAUAUUCAGAGUGCUCAAUUAGAAAUAAAAAACUGGGCUCUGGCUUGAGAUGGUGUUGGUGGGUGAGGAUUCAGCAUUGCAGGUAGACUAUGGGACUGAGGGAUCAAGAUCAGGCAUUCCCAUGAGGAGAUACCAAAGUCAAGCCCAGUCAAGAGCUGUCAAUUCAAAGUCCAGGGGGAAACCAAGGUCAAGGACUAUGCACUACAGUCAGCAUCAAUGCCAGCACACAACAGAGAGUAAAGCAAGCGGAGAGCCUUCGGCUGGAAGUAUCUAAAGGCCAGAUGACUGGUGUAAUUUUCAGAAUUUUUUUGGCUGAAAAUUACAGAAAAUCCAACCCAAAAUGACUUAAUCAGGAAGAAAUUUGGUAGAUUACAAAACUGAAAAGUUCAGGGGGUUGGAUUAUUUCCAGGUAUGGUUUGAUACAGAGAUUGAACAAUGUCAGCAGAACCCAGUUUUCUCUGUCUCUUUCAG